GAUGAAGAACGUAGUGAAAUGCGAUAAGUAAUGUGAAUUGCAGAAUUCAGUGAAUCAUCGAAUCUUUGAACGCAUCUUGCGCUCCUUGGUAUUCUGAGGAGCAUGCCUGUUUGAGUGUCAUUAAAUUCUCAACUACACUGACUUUGAAUUGGCGUGGCUUGGAUUUGGGGGGAAAAUUGUUGUGGGCUUUUUGUAUAGUCUGCUCCCCUGAAAUUGAUUAGCGGUACCUUUGUGGAACUGUCUACAGGUGUGAUAAUUAUCUACAUCUUAGACAUCUGCUGGAAUGCUGCUUUCUAAACCUUACUUGUAUUGACAAUCUUGACCUCAAAUCAGGUAGGACUACCCGCUGAACUUAAGCAUAUCAAUAAGCGGAGGA
rnacentral:misc_RNA from 1 species